ACUGCGCAUGCGCAUGGGCCAAAGUGAGACUAUAAACACUCCUGUGGUUCCCUUCCUGCCUCAAUGGGAACUUUGCAUCAGUUGCCCAGCAUGGGGUUGCACAGCUGUUGGGGUUUUUGCAAUAGCCGGGUGGUCUUCUUGCUUGGCUGCCUGGUAGAGUGUUUGCUCCAUUCUGUGGCUUUAGAUUUUGCAGGUUCGAUAUCUUGCCAUGAUGAUCAAUUCCAAAUCAGGCUUCCUAAGGAAUCUGAAAAUGUAACUUCUUGGCAAGUAGAAAUACUUGGUGCCAAUGGGGAAGAAAUUCAGGACUGUCAGUAUGUUGUGGACCUUGAAAAGCAAACGGUGACUGCCGAGUAUGAGAACUGCACAAGCCUGGAGCAUAACAAGCGCCGCCUGAGAUUUCGGCUGCAGUUCAACGAUACAGCGACACAGGAACUGAAGAACGAAACAUAC
rnacentral:lncRNA from 11 species